rnacentral:rRNA from 1 species
UAACUAUGGAAACGGUAGCUAAUACCGCAUAACGUCGCAAGACCAAAGAGGGGGACCUUCGGGCCUCUUGCCAUCAGAUGUGCCCAGAUGGGAUUAGCUAGUAGGUGGGGUAACGGCUCACCUAGGCGACGAUCCCUAGCUGGUCUGAGAGGAUGACCAGCCACACUGGAACUGAGACACGGUCCAGACUCCUACGGGAGGCAGCAUG